UAAUCUCAGCUGGCAACUGUGAGCAGUAAAUAAAUUCUCCCACAGUGGUCCCUGGGAUUAUG
rnacentral:pre_miRNA from 1 species